CGGAGGAAGGUGGGGAUGACGUCAAGUCAUCAUGGCCCUUACGACCAGGGCUACACACGUGCUACAAUGGCGCAUACAAAGAGAAGCGACCUCGCGAGAGCAAGCGGACCUCAUAAAGUGCGUCGUAGUCCGGAUUGGAGUCUGCAACUCGACUCCAUGAAGUCGGAAUCGCUAGUAAUCGUGGAUCAGAAUGCCACGGUGAAUACGUUCCCGGGCCUU
rnacentral:rRNA from 1 species